UACUGUACACUCUCCCAUCCCACUCCCUGAGCCUGCUGGUUAGUAAAAGGCUUGUGGGGUGGUUUCUGGUUACUCUGCCCCUAAUUUCAGCCUGCUUUUUUUAAAAGUCUUGUAACUGGGUGGCAAGUUCUGUCCCUACAGGGGGAUGUAACACUCUUCUAUUUGCUCACCGUCUUAGUGGGAGUUAUACCCUGCACACAGCUGCUGAGUAAAUUCUGCUGACUUGCUAUGGCAGGUGAAUGCAGAGUGUCAGUUUCACAAGAUUCUAAGGGGUGGGGCUGGGGCUGGGGCAUAGUAUUACACUCUGCUUAGAAAUAGCUAAGGACAGUGAGGGGAAAGUCCUACAGGAAGCUCUGGGAGCAAUUGUGUCUGCGGAGAAAACAUAGCAUUGUUGAAUAGGAAUAAUAGAUUCAUUUUGCUGCCACAAUGUCUCCGUUGUUUCCAGAGAUUUGCCAUCACAAACAUGGAAGGUAGAUCAAGAGUUUAGGAUGGAAGCUGCUGCCAGUCCUUUAACCAAUUUGCUGCAAUACUCAGAAAGCUACAGCAAGGAUCUCAUGAAGCAGUGGAUCCAUGUGCCUAAGCCCCAAAAUAGCUUAAAAAUGCUAUUUGAAAUAUUUAUUUGAAGUUAUUUACAUAGUCGCAUACAGAGAAAUAUCAUAAUGAUUUUUGGUGAGAAACUUUAAAGAAACCAUAGUUUUAAAAAAUGGAAUAAAUUGUUAGUCCCUUGACCUAAACAUGAAGACAAGCACACGACACUGAAAACAAAGGAAGAUGGAAAAGCAUGCAUGGGGCAGACAGCUGCAGGUUUCAGGGUGGAUAUGGGCACCAGAAUAAGAUAGUGUUGAGCAAGCUGAAUAGUGGCUUUUUGAUAUCAUCUCCCAGUUUUGUAGAAGCGCUUCUGAAAGUGCUUUUGAAACUAUAUUGCUUUACAUGGCACAUUGCCUUUGGGGCUGAGGAGCAUGAUAUUGUUCAGAGUUUCCCUCUUUACUAGCUCAGCCUCUUUGGUGCACCCAUGGAGAACUUCUGCACAGUCGGAGAGAAUGGGACAGAAGGGAAAGAUGCAGUGAAGCUAAUGCUUCCUUCACUUAUGUUUGAUACUAUUCCCCACUGCACAUGGGUAAAAGAGUUGAAAAAGGACCUACUGGACCAUCUUGUUCAUCCUCGCUCUUUCUGCCAAUGUAGGAAUGUUCCCUCCAGUACUUUGAGUGUAUUGUCCAGUCUAGUUAUAUAUGACCCAACCAAUGGGGCUUCCAAUGUGAUUCUUGGGACAAAGAUUCUUUAUAUCUCAUAGAUGCACCAUUUAAAUAACUUUCGUUUGCAUUCAGCUCACCAAUCAAUCAGCAAUUUGUUUACAGCAAUUCAUAAUAAAGAACCUGUAGUUCUUUCUGAAAAUCCUUGGGAAUAAUUCACUCAGUAACUGACCUAUUUGCUGUCUUCAUGUUCACUAUUCAGUCAGUGUCAGUGUAAAUUUUCAAUAUUGCCUGGGAAGAAGCUAUAAACCUUCCUGUUAAUGCAGAAGAAUGAAUCACUACACAAUA